rnacentral:rRNA from 1 species
GAUGAACGCUGCGGCGUGCCUAAUCCAUGCAAGUCGAGCGAACGGACGAGAAGCUUGCUUUUCUGAUGUUAGCGGCGGACGGGUGAGUAACACGUGGAUAACCUACCUAUAAGACUGGGAUAACUUCGGGAAACCGGAGCUAAUACCGGAUAAUAUUUUGAACCGCAUGGUUCAAAAGUGAAAGACGGUCUUGCUGUCACUUAUAGAUGGAUCCGCGCUGCAUUAGCUAGUUGGUAAGGUAACGGCUUACCAAGGCAACGAUGCAUAGCCGACCUGAGAGGGUGAUCGGCCACACUGGAACUGAGACACGGUCCAGACUCCUACGGGAGGCAGCAGUAGGGAAUCUUCCGCAAUGGGCGAAAGCCUGACGGAGCAACGCCGCGUGAGUGAUGAAGGUCUUCGGAUCGUAAAACUCUGUUAUUAGGGAAGAACAUAUGUGUAAGUAACUGUGCACAUCUUGACGGUACCUAAUCAGAAAGCCACGGCUAACUACGUG